rnacentral:misc_RNA from 1 species
UCCCUUCUCUCCUUCCUUUUCCUUUCCUCCUUCCUUUCCUCCUCUCCUCUUUUCCCUCACAUUGCGCCCGUCAGCAUUCUGGCGGGCAUGCCUGUUCGAGCGUCAUUUCAACCCUCAGGACCCCCCUUUCGCGGGGAGGGACCUGGCGUUGGGGAUCGGCCCGCCCCCCGUGGCGGCGCCGUCCCCGAAAUCUAGUGGCGGUCUCGCUGCAGCCUCCCCUGCGUAGUAGUUACAACCUCGCAUCGGAGCGCGGCGCGGCCACGCCGUAAAACCCCCGACUUUCUGAACGUUGACCUCGGAUCAGGUAGGAAUACCCGCUGAACUUAAGC